AAAUAAAACAGGACUGGAAACAGAAGACCCGUCCUGCGAACAUGAAAUUCAUUGGCGUUUUGCGCUCCCUCGCUUGCUGAUGAAAUAUUUGUGCGCUAAAAAUCCAUCUUUGGCUGGCCGGCGCCUCGAAUAUGGCCAACUAUGGAUAUUUUUUUUAAAAAAAAUUUAUUCAAAUUUAAAUUAAAUGUAAUAUAAUUUUUAUAUUAUGUAAAUUAAAAUAGAAAUUAAAAGUAAUGACGGUAUUAUAAAAGUAAAUAUUUUAGAAAGAAAUAAUAUUUAGGACGCAAAUAAUAUUCUAAAAAGGGAAAAGUUAUUUCUCUUAUAAUUUAAUACUAAUUAUUAUUCGGAGCGGGUUUUGCGGGGCAAAUUAAUUUAUUUAGCAAUAUUUCGACCGAAGGUUUU
rnacentral:lncRNA from 1 species